UACGAGAGGGGCAAGCGUUGUCCGGAAUUAUUGGGCGUAAAGAGCUCGUAGGCGGUUUGUCGCGUCUGCUGUGAAAACUCGGGGCUUAACCCCGGGCCUGCAGUGGGUACGGGCAGACUAGAGUGCGGUAGGGGAGACUGGAAUUCCUGGUGUAGCGGUGAAAUGCGCAGAUAUCAGGAGGAACACCGGUGGCGAAGGCGGGUCUCUGGGCCGUAACUGACGCUGAGGAGCGAAAGCGUGGGGAGCGAACAGG
rnacentral:rRNA from 1 species